rnacentral:rRNA from 1 species
CCUACGGGUGGCAGCAGUGAGGAAUAUUGGUCAAUGGACGCAAGUCUGAACCAGCCAAGCAGCGUGCAGGAUGACGGCCCUAUGAGUUGUAAACUGCUUUUGUACGAGGGUAAACUGCGUUACGUGUGCCGUUUUGAAAGUAUCGUACGAAUAAGGAUCGGCUAACUCCGUGCCAGCAGCCGCGGUAAUACGGAGGAUCCGAGCGUUAUCCGGAUUUAUUGGGUUUAAAGGGUGCGUAGGCGGGUUGUUAAGUGAGGGGUGAAAUGUCGGGGCUCAACCCCGAAACUGCCGCUCAUACUGGUGGACUGGAGAAUAGUGGCGGUAGGCGGAAUGUAUGGUGUAGCGGUGAAAUGCUUAGAGAUCAUACAGAACACCGAUUGCGAAGGCAGCUUACCAAACUAUAUCUGACGUUGAGGCACGAAAGCGUGGGUAGCAAACAGGAUUAGAUACCCGUGUAGUC